rnacentral:lncRNA from 1 species
GGAAGUUGCAGCGAGCUGAGAUUGUGCCACUGCACUCCAGCCUGGGCCACAGAGUGAGACUCUCUCUCUUUCUCUCUCUCUCUCUCCCCCCAACCCCCCCCCUCUAUAUAUAUAUGUAUGUGUAUGUAUAUUUUGAUGAGCUCAUUAAAUACAUUCACAAUUGUCCCAUAAGAUAGGGAUUAAUAACACUUUUAUAGAAAAGAAAGGAGUUCAUGGAAAAGAAUCUGAUUGUUUCUCUGUUUUGCUGUCACUUUGUGUUUUGCGGAGUUAAUCCAAAGAGUUGCUUCAACAAGCAGAACUCAAGGAAACACGGGUGAGGUUACUUUCAGGCUUGGAGACUUCUGAGCUAAAGGAAGUGGGCCAGGGAAGGGCUAGGUGCUCUGACAUUCCAAAUAUAGUCUGCUUGGCCACUGAGGAACAGAGAUUUGUUGCUAGCAACAAGUACUUAGAACGUGUGUGAUUUGGCAUGUCUCGAACUGUGAAGUAGAUGCAAUGCAGGCAGAAAAUCGAUGAUGCUAUGGGGAGGGGCUGUGUAGGGUGUUAAUCGCCAUCUGCAGUGCCUGGAGGUGGGGUGGGGAGAAGUGAAGAAUCUCUUCCUUUUUAAUAGAUUUUCAAGAUGGGAAAAUCAUAUUGCAACCCACAGGCAUUUGGAAACAAUUUGUGCCGAAGACAGAAAGUACACCUAACGUUAAGCUGAAAAAACUGGACGCUCCCAGCAAACUCACUUUGCAGACUCCUGGUUGUCAGAAGAAAACGCCAGAGGAUUUCACUUGGCAUUGACCUCUUACUACUUCCAGCCACUUACCCUGGGCAGUAGAAAGAAGGAACAGAAAGCAGAGUAGAUUAAGAGGAGCAAGUACAAAUGGCGUGGGACUUCAAAUCACCACCUAAGAUUACUUCUUUGAUUUCUGAAAAAGUAGGUCAAAGGAAGAUGUCAGUUCCAGAGGAAAGAAUGCUUCCACAGGGAGACAUAGCAAUGCUUCCACUGAACUGGAAGUCAAGACUGCCAUGCAGCCAUUUUGGACUCCGUAUUCCUCUGAAUCAACAGGCAAAGAAAGGAGUUACUGUGCUGGUUAGGGUGACUGAAUCUGACUACCAAGGGGAAAUUGGACUACUACUCCACAACAG